GUGAGGAAUUUUCCGCAAUGGGCGAAAGCCUGACGGAGCAAUGCCGCGUGAAGGAUGAAGGCCUAUGGGUUGUAAACUUCUUUUCUCAGAAAAGAAUUAUGACGGUAUCUGAGGAAUAAGCAUCGGCUAACUCUGUGCCAGCAGCCGCGGUAAGACAGAGGAUGCAAGCGUUAUCCGGAAUGAUUGGGCGUAAAGCGUCUGUAGGUUGUUUAAAAAGUAUUCUGUCAAAGAUUAGGGCUUAACCCUAGAUAGGCAGAAUAAACUUUUAAGCUAUAGGUUGGUAGAGGCAGAGGGAAUUCCCGGUGGAGCCGUGAAAUGCGUAGAUAUCGGGAGGAACACCAAAGGCGAAGGCACUCUGCUGGGCCAAUACUAACACUGAGAGACGAAAGCGAGGGGAGCAAAUGGGAUUAGAAACCCUUGUAGUCC
rnacentral:rRNA from 1 species